rnacentral:rRNA from 1 species
GAUGAACGCUGGCGGCGUGCCUAAUACAUGCAAGUCGAGCGAACGGACGAGAAGCUUGCUUCUCUGAUGUUAGCGGCGGACGGGUGAGUAACACGUGGAUAACCUACCUAUAAGACUGGGAUAACUUCGGGAAACCGGAGCUAAUACCGGAUAAUAUUUUGAACCGCAUGGUUCAAAAGUGAAAGACGGUCUUGCUGUCACUUAUAGAUGGAUCCGCGCUGCAUUAGCUGGUUGGUAAGGUAACGGCUUACCAAGGCAACGAUGCAUAGCCGACCUGAGAGGGUGAUCGGCCACACUGGAACUGAGACACGGUCCAGACUCCUACGGGAGGCAGCAGUAGGGAAUCUUCCGCAAUGGGCGAAAGCCUGACGGAGCAACGCCGCGUGAGUGAUGAAGGUCUUCGGAUCGUAAAACUCUGUUAUUAGGGAAGAACAUAUGUGUAAGUAACUGUGCACAUCUUGACGGUACCUAAUCAGAAAGCCACGGCUAACUACGUGCCAGCAGCCGCGGUAAUACGUAGGUGGCAAGCGUUAUCCGGAAUUAUUGGGCGUAAAGCGCGCGUAGGCGGUUUUUUAAGUCUGAUGUGAAAGCCCACGGCUCAACCGUGGAGGGUCAUUGGAAACUGGAAAACUUGAGUGCAGAAGAGGAAAGUGGAAUUCCAUGUGUAGCGGUGAAAUGCGCAGAGAUAUGGAGGAACACCAGUGGCGAAGGCGACUUUCUGGUCUAUAACUGACGCUGAUGUGCGAAAGCGUGGGGAUCAAACAGGAUUAGAUACCCUGGUAGUCCACGCCGUAAACGAUGAGUGCUAAGUGUUAGGGGGUUUCCGCCCCUUAGUGCUGCAGCUAACGCAUUAAGCACUCCGCCUGGGGAGUACGACCGCAAGGUUGAAACUCAAAGGAAUUGACGGGGACCCGCACAAGCGGUGGAGCAUGUGGUUUAAUUCGAAGCAACGCGAAGAACCUUACCAAAUCUUGACAUCCUUUGACAACUCUAGAGAUAGAGCUUUCCCCUUCGGGGGACAAAGUGACAGGUGGUGCAUGGUUGUCGUCAGCUCGUGUCGUGAGAUGUUGGGUUAAGUCCCGCAACGAGCGCAACCCUUAAGCUUAGUUGCCAUCAUUAAGUUGGGCACUCUAAGUUGACUGCCGGUGACAAACCGGAGGAAGGUGGGGAUGACGUCAAAUCAUCAUGCCCCUUAUGAUUUGGGCUACACACGUGCUACAAUGGACAAUACAAAGGGCAGCGAAACCGCGAGGUCAAGCAAAUCCCAUAAAGUUGUUCUCAGUUCGGAUUGUAGUCUGCAACUCGACUACAUGAAGCUGGAAUCGCUAGUAAUCGUAGAUCAGCAUGCUACGGUGAAUACGUUCCCGGGUCU